AUUACUACAUUUUUUUUCUGGCUCCUAAUGCACGAAGCAGUGCGAGCUAAUUAUAUAAUUCUUAUAGGAUUUGGCAGGUUGCGUAGUAAAGCAAGGCCAUUAUAUCUAAUUAGCAGUGAAAAACUUCCCAUGUACUGAGAUAUCUUGUUGCGCAACUUAAAUAUUAAGUAUUGCCUAGUCAAACUAAUAAAGCCAAGUUUUUUAGUGUGCAUUUUGAAAAAUUCAUAAGCGCAUCAAAGUUUAACCGCUAGUAAAUAAAUAUGAUAAUAUUUAUCAUUUUACAUAAUGUUAUUCCUUGCGCCUAAUAAACCUGUAUACAAAUUUACAAUGUAAAUAUGAGUACUUAUUUAUAUUUUUCUAAGGAACUCGGCAAUAAUGCUGCUCGACUGUUUACCAAAAACAUAAUUAUACGUUGUUAUGUAUAACUAUUUCUGCUCCAUGGAAUACUAAAUAGCCGCAGUACCCUGACUGUGCAAAGGUAGCAUAAUCAGUUGACUUAUAAUUGAAGUCUGGAAUGAAUGAAUUAACGGGCAGCGACUGUCUUAGAUGAAAGAAUAGGAAAUUAAUAAGCAAGUGCAAAUGCUUGCCGGUUUAAAAUAGACGAGAAGACCCUAGAAACUUAUAUUAUUUUGUUGGGGCGACAGAAUUACACGGAACUAAUUUUAAUGUUACGUGGAUCAAAGAAGAAAGAAGAAGUUACUCUAGGGAUAACAGCAUAAUUAAUAAUAGUUUGUGACCUCGAUGUUGGACUAGGUAUUGUAGUUUUUAGAAGAWACUAUUAGUUGCUCUGUUCGAGCAGUUUUACCUACAUGAUCUGAGUUCAGACCGG
rnacentral:rRNA from 1 species